rnacentral:rRNA from 1 species
AUGGUGAACCGCGACAAGGCCGGCUGCCCCACGGCCGCGGCCACGCUGCCCCUCGACCGUCUCCUGGCCUCGCUCGCCGCCAACGCGGAGCAGCUGGGGAAGAGGUGGGAGAUCGCCGUCCGCGACCGGAGGGCCAGAGCGGCCGAGCGGAGGAUGGAGGCGGAUGCGGCGCCGCCGGUGCAGCUGCACACGCCGCUCUUCUAUGCCACCUGCGCCCUCGGCGGGGUCCUCAGCACCGGCCUCACCCACCUCGCAGUCACGCCGCUCGACCUCGUCAAGUGCAAUAUGCAGGUCUCUGAAGCAGAAACAGGCUCCCCUGCUGCUCCUGUACAAGCUUCCUGUGCCCUAAUGCUAAUUUCCAACGGGAAUUGCUCUUCGCAGGUUGACCCUAGCAAGUACAGGGACAUCUCGUCUGGCUUCGGUGUGCUGCUCCAAGAGCAAGGUCUUGGUGGGUUCUUCAAAGGCUGGAUGGCCACGCUGGUUGGGUAUAGUAGCCAGGGAGCUUGCAAGUUUGGUUUCUACGAGUACUUCAAGAAGUGUUACUCGGACAUUGCUGGCCCCGAGAAUGCUGACAGGUUGAAGACCGUCAUCUACCUCGCUGCAUCGGCGUCGGCUGAGGUAAUUGCAGAUUUAGCUCUCUGCCCCAUGGAAGCCGUCAAGGUUCGAAUCCAGACCCAGCCGGGAUUCGCUCGAUGCCUAACCGAUGGGCUUCCGAAGCUUGUCCGGUCCGAAGGUGCCUUUGGGUAUAAUAGAUACUGCAUGUCCUGUACUGAUUAUGUUAUGAUUGGUUCUAUUCAAGAUACUGCAGAACACUCUUUAACACUCUGUGUUCAUUUCAGGCUUUACAAGGGAAUAGUUCCUCUUUGGGGCCGCCAAAUUCCUUACACUAUGAUGAAAUUUGCAUGCUUUGAGACCAUUGUUGAGAUGGUGUACAAGCAUGCUGUGCCAAAACCAAAAGAUCAAUGCAGUAAACCAUUGCAGCUAGCAGUGAGUUUUGCAGGGGGGUACAUUGCUGGAGUCUUGUGUGCUGCUGUCUCUCAUCCUGCAGACAACCUGGUGUCUUUUCUCAACAAUGCAAAGGGAGCCACUGUGGCAGAUGCUAUAACAACCAUUGGGCUGUGGGGCCUUUUCACUCGUGGCCUUCCACUCCGUAUUAUCAUGGUCGGUACUCUUACCGGAGCGCAAUGGGCAACAUACGACGCGUUUAAAGUAUUUGUUGGGCUACCAACCACCGGGGGAGUCAGCUCUAGUUGUCAUGCUGCCACUACUUUGCACCGAGUAGAUCAUGAGAAGCAGAACUGA